UAUAAUCACACUUUUGCGGUUUCAGGUAGGUGCUCAGGAUUGUUCAGCAUUGAUCAAGAAGGCCAAAUUAGUACUUCAGAAGCCAUUGACAGAGAUAAAGACGAUAUCGCCCAUGUUUCUGGUGUCUGUGUUCUUACAAUUCUGACCCAGGAAAUGGAUCUCUAUCCUGAUGGCCAACACGGUCUCACAAAUGCAACAGCAGACGCUACAAUUACCAUAGAAGAUGAAAAUGAUAAUGCUCCACAAUUUGAAUAUAAUAUGUACAUAGCUGAAGUCCAAGAGAAUGCUCCAAGAAAUGUUCCAAUUACUCUUAUAGAUCCAGUAGUUAUUUUAGUUUUCGACCAUGACAAGAUAGUGGCAAAGGAUGUAGGUAACAGCAGUCUUGUUGCAACAGCAACAGUGUCGCUGAAUAUAAUAGAUAUGAAUGACAACAAUCAACAUUGUGAAAAUUCAAGCUAUUCCUUCAGAAUUCCAGAAAACUCUUUAAACAGAUUUCUUAUGUGUUUUUGUCUUCUGUUCUUCUCAUUUCCUGUGUUGUUUUGAUCAAAAUAUGAUAUAUGUCUAUAUGGUACAUACCUAAGAAAAUCUUAGCGGAACCACUCUGAAUUCACCAAUAAACUUAAACAAAAAAAAAACAUUGGUCAAAAGCGAAAGAAAAAUCAAAUAUGUCCUUUUCCCAACAACUGAUCCGGCAGACAAAAUAUGACCUACAUUUUUUAAAAUCUCUUUGUAUUUUAUAUACAACAUGCACAUCUUUCUCAUGCCUUACGCUGACAAUUACUGUAUAAGUUGUAAUGAGGCCCUGAUAGAAAGUUUAGAAGUGCAUGAAAAUAAACUAAAAUAAUGCAUAAAUACCUCUAAAGAAAUUUUACACAUUAAGAAACGUUAUUAAGUUUUGAUCUUUUAGCCAGUUAUUUAUUGUUUUCAAUGAUGAUACCUUGGUUUACACAAAACUUAUAUAUUAAAAUGUAAAAUGUGUAUGUCCAACAAUGGGAAAUUAGAAAAAAAAAGUUAAAUUUGUAUCACGUUUGUGUAAAACGUAGGAAACUGGUUAUAUUCAUCAAUUCAUUUAAUCAUUUUGAAAGAGUUUUAGUCAUUUUGAAGCAUUUCUCUAACUGUUCAGGAGUACUUUGCUGCAAAUAAUGUAACAGACGAACUCAUUGUCAUCAAAUGAAAUUACAACAUUUUCAGGUAGUGGUUGUAAUUAUAAUGAUUAUAACAUUUUAAGGUAGCUGAUAUGUAUUGACUCUCUGCAAUGUAUUUUUCGCAGUUCAGCAUUAUCUGGGCGGAACUAUCACGAUCAUUGUUUUCCGUGAAAAACGAAUAAAAUUAAUGCUGAAAAAGCAUAUAGGGAUUACUUGAUUUGAUGAUUUUCUUAACAGGUCAACUACCUUAAACAAACUAUAAGGUGUUUUAGUUAUUGUUGUAAACAAAGUAAACGGGUUACUUCAGAUAUCAACAUUAACUUACAAGUUAAAUUGUUUACACAACUUGAAAAAAUGAUUUUUGUUGGAGCUUCUCAUUUACAGUUAUAUCAACAAUUAUCACCUGAAUUGAGUGCAUUCAUGAGUGGAAACUAUGGAUGGUAAAAUGGUGUAGGGGUUUGUUUACUUUCAAUCUGACUAAAGUACUU